GAAUUCGCCCUUAGAGUUUGAUCCUGGCUCAGGACGAACGCUGGCGGCGCGCCUAACACAUGCAAGUCGAACGGAGCUUAGAGAGCUUGCUUUUUAAGCUUAGUGGCGAACGGGUGAGUAACGCGUGAGUAACCUGCCCUAGAGUGGGGGACAACAGUUGGAAACGACUGCUAAUACCGCAUAAGCCCACGGUGCCGCAUGGCACUGAGGGAAAAGGAUUUAUUCGCUUUAGGAUGGACUCGCGUCCAAUUAGCUAGUUGGUGAGGUAACGGCCCACCAAGGCGACGAUUGGUAGCCGGACUGAGAGGUUGAACGGCCACAUUGGGACUGAGACACGGCCCAGACUCCUACGGGAGGCAGCAGUGGGGGAUAUUGCACAAUGGGGGAAACCCUGAUGCAGCGACGCCGCGUGGAGGAAGAAGGUUUUCGGAUUGUAAACUCCUGUCGUUAGGGACGAUAAUGACGGUACCUAACAAGAAAGCACCGGCUAACUACGUGCCAGCAGCCGCGGUAAAACGUAGGGUGCAAGCGUUGUCCGGAAUUACUGGGUGUAAAGGGAGCGCAGGCGGGAAGACAAGUUGGAAGUGAAAUCUAUGGGCUCAACCCAUAAACUGCUUUCAAAACUGUUUUUCUUGAGUAGUGCAGAGGUAGGCGGAAUUCCCGGUGUAGCGGUGGAAUGCGUAGAUAUCGGGAGGAACACCAGUGGCGAAGGCGGCCUACUGGGCACCAACUGACGCUGAGGCUCGAAAGUGUGGGUAGCAAACAGGAUUAGAUACCCUGGUAGUCCACACCGUAAACGAUGAUUACUAGGUGUUGGAGGAUUGACCCCUUCAGUGCCGCAGUUAACACAAUAAGUAAUCCACCUGGGGAGUACGACCGCAAGGUUGAAACUCAAAGGAAUUGACGGGGGCCCGCACAAGCAGUGGAGUAUGUGGUUUAAUUCGAAGCAACGCGAAGAACCUUACCAGGUCUUGACAUCGUAUGCAUAGUCUAGAGAUAGAUGAAAUCCCUUCGGGGACAUAUAGACAGGUGGUGCAUGGUUGUCGUCAGCUCGUGUCGUGAGAUGUUGGGUUAAGUCCCGCAACGAGCGCAACCCUUACCAUUAGUUGCUACGCAAGAGCACUCUAAUGGGACUGCCGUUGACAAAACGGAGGAAGGUGGGGAUGACGUCAAAUCAUCAUGCCCCUUAUGACCUGGGCUACACACGUACUACAAUGGCAAUAAAACAGAGGGAAGCAAAACAGCGAUGUGGAGCAAAUCCCGAAAAAUUGUCUCAGUUCAGAUUGCAGGCUGAAACUCGCCUGCAUGAAGUCGGAAUUGCUAGUAAUCGCAGAUCAGCAUGCUGCGGUGAAUACGUUCCCGGGCCUUGCACACACCGCCCGUCA
rnacentral:rRNA from 1 species